rnacentral:rRNA from 1 species
CACUCCUGCGGGAGGCAGCAGUGGGGAAUUUUGGACAAUGGGCGAAAGCCUGAUCCAGCAAUGCCGCGUGAGUGAAGAAGGCCUUCGGGUUGUAAAGCUCUUUUGUCAGGGAAGAAACGGUGAAAGCUAAUAUCUUUUGCUAAUGACGGUACCUGAAGAAUAAGCACCGGCUAACUACGUGCCAGCAGCCGCGGUAAUACGUAGGGUGCAAGCGUUAAUCGGAAUUACUGGGCGUAAAGCGUGCGCAGGCGGUUUUGUAAGUCUGAUGUGAAAUCCCCGGGCUCAACCUGGGAAUUGCAUUGGAGACUGCAAGGCUAGAAUAUGGCAGAGGGGGGUAGAAUUCCACGUGUAGCAGUGAAAUGCGUAGAUAUGUGGAGGAACACCGAUGGCGAAGGCAGCCCCCUGGGUCAAGAUUGACGCUCAUGCACGAAAGCGUGGGGAGCAAACAGGAUUAGAUACCCUUGUAGUCCCAUGA